CGGCUUCCGCUGAGCUGCCUGUUCCGGAGCACAAACAAUUUCUGCUCUGACGCGGGGUCUCUCGGGCCUUGGCGUCCUCUCCUCCCUGCGCCCCCCCCCCCUUCCGGGUACGAGAACUCAAAACAACUCGCUGACCUUCGGGCAGACCAGCUCCGGCUUCCUCCUACUCCGGCAUUCCGCUCAAACCAAGUAGCGGCGGCUUCUAAGAUUUCACUCGGCGCUGGGCUGGUGGGGGAGGGGGUGAUUUCCCCGGGAGGGGUGUCUCAGAUCGAAAGAGCCACUUCAAGCUCCUUUCCCUCCUCCGAGAGACCAAUGCUGUGCUCGACAUAUCCUAAACUGCAAGAAUGAUUUCAUUCAUUCAACACCUAUUUAUGAGUGUGUACCAGUCCCUGGAUGAUGCAAACAGUUAAUGUGCUUGGCUGCUAACUGAAAGGUUGGAAGUUGAGUCUACCAGAGGCACCUCAAAAGAAAAGCCUGGCAUUCUACUUCUGAAAAAUCAGCGAUUGACGUCUGGGGUCUGAAACGCUAGCAUCUAAGAUGCAUCAAUUGGUCUCAACCCACCUGGAGCAAAGGAGAAGGAAGAACAGCAAAGACACAAGGUAAUUAUGAGCCCAAGAGACAGAAAGGGCAACAGAAACCAGAGACUCCAUCAGCCUGAGACCAGAAGAACUAGAUGGUGCCCGGCUACAACUGAUGACUGCUCUGACAGGGAACACAACAGAGAACCCCUGACGGAACAGGAGAGCACUGGGAUGCAGACCUCAAAUUCUUGUAAAAAGACCAGACUUAAUGGUAUGACUGAGACUAGAAGGACCCCGGAGGUCACAGUCCCCAGACCUUCUGUUAGCCCAAGACAGGAACCAUUCCCAAAGCCACCUCUUCAGACAGGGAUUGGACUGGACUAUGGGAUAGAAAAUGAUACUGGUGAGGAGUCAGCUUCUUGGAUCAAGUAGACACAUGAGACUAUGUGGUCAGCUCUUGUCUGGAGUGCUGGGAGACUCUCGGAGGCCCCUACCGGAGCCAGGCACCAAUCUCCUCCAGGCAAGAGUUCUGAUCCAGCCGUGUAUGAAGAUUAGCAAUGGAAGAUUAAUUUCUCCUUGUCAUUUCCCCAGGGGCCUUCAGCAAUCUCGGGAGCAAUUUUCUUCGCGUAGAACACUGCCCUCGAGAAGCUCCCGGUGAACUGCCAGCAGCUUGGCACCGAGUGAAGGACGGCCCUGAGUCCCAGGUUCGGAGCUGGGUGACGAGCCAGAGAGAAAUGUGCCUACCGAACAGUUAUUGCUGUAAUGGAAUGGAAGCUGAACAAAAGAAAGGGCCGCAUAAGCAGUGCUUUGCUGCGUGGGCUUUUCAUCUGGCUAGGGAGCAUGAAGGACACUGAAACCCUGCUCCCUGGCUCUCGGUGGCAACGGCCCCACCGAGGAGGGCAGCCUUUGUCUGCGAUGAAAUUUCUCGACGCAGUCUCGGCUCUGCCUGGAGGUCGUGGUCUGAGUCCAAGGGCAUUGUUUGCUCCUCCUGCUGAAGAGAAGAGGAGAGGGUUGUCUUGUGCUGUGCUCUGGGGACCAAAUCGUGCACCAACCGGAGAGGCUGAGCUUUGUGCUUAGCAAGAAUUUUUUUGUUGUUGUAAAAAUAUAAGUAACACAUUUGCCAAUUGAACAUUUGUCACUUGUACAAUUCAGUGAAACCAAUUACAUCAGUCAUGUUGUGCAACCACUACUAACAUCCAUUGCCAUAAUAUCCGUUCCCAUAAACAGAAACUCAAGGCUAGCUAAACCAAGAUUCCCCUCUUUCUCCUUCCCUCCCGCCCCUUAUAACCACUGUUAAACUCUGGUCUCUAUACAUCUGCCUAUUCUAAGUGUUUCACAUUAGCGAGAUCACACAGUAUUUGUCUCUUUUGUGAGUGACUGACUUAUUUCACUCAGCAUAAUGUUUUCAAGGCUCACCCAUGUUGUAGCAUGUAUCAAGACUUCAUUCCUCUUUCUGGUUGAGUAAUAUUCCCAUAGACCACAUUCUGUUUAUCCAUUCAUCGAUUGAUGGGCAUUUGGGUCGUUUCCACCUUUUGGCUAUUGUGAAUAGUGCUGCAAUGAACACUGGUGUACAAGCCUUUUUUUGAGUUCCUGCUUUUAGGUCUCACAUGUGUAGACCUAGGACAGGGGUUGCUGGGUCAUAUGGUAGGAAUGACUUUUUUGAUGAGAGGAUUUUUGCUGAAACACAGAAAGUUGCUGUUUGGGAUGAAUUUGGAGAUACUUUUUUUUAGCUGGGGCAUCAAGGAGUGGUUUGAGGAUUGGGCCAGGGUGCACCCCACACACGAUUGUGUUUCUGGGCCCCACAAGGGGCUGUGUCCUUCAGCCACUCAGCUGCACUUUGUGCAUGGUCGUUUAUUCCUUCAUUCAUUCAUCUAUCACGGAUUUAUUGGGGAUUGAUUAUGUUUAAAAUAUGGUGACCUUUAGUCCAUUACAAACCUCUCUGAGGCUCCAUUGCUUCUUCCCUAAAAUGGGCUCAAUAAUGUCUUCCUCACAGGGUAAAUGGAAGAUUAGAUGAGUUAACAUAUGCAGAGCGGCUAGUAUAUAUGGCUAUUGCAUCAAAUGGGGUGCCUGCAGCUAUAAGGAACAGAAGACUCAAUUAAAAGUGGUCUAAACCCCACAGCUACCACAGCCUCCACCAGACUGAGUCCAGCACAGCUAGAUGGUGCCCAGCUACCACCAUCGACUGCUCUGACAGGGAUCACAAUAGAAGGUCCUGGACAAAGCUGGAGAAAAUGUAGAAAAAAAUUCUAACUCACAAAAAAAGACCAGAUUUACUGAUCUGACUGGAGAAACCCCAAAACUGUGGCCCCUGCACACCCUUUUAACUCAGCACUGAAGUCACUCCUGAAGUCCACCCUUCAGCCAAAGAUUAGACAGGCCCAUAAAACGAAAGGAAACUAAAUGGGCACACCAGCCCAGGGGCAAGGACUAGAAGGCAGGAGGGGACAGGAAAGCUGGCAACAGGGAACCCAAGUUCGAGAAGGGGAGAGUGUUAACAUGUCAUGGGGUUGGUAACCAAUGUCACGAAAACAAUAUGUGCAUUAAUUUUUUAAUGAAAAACUAAUUUGCUCUGUAAACCUUCAUCUAACAUACAAUAGAAAGAAAAGAAAAAGGCAAGCUACAGACUGGAAGAAGAUAUUCAAAAUAUAUAUGGCAAAGGUCUUGUAUCCAGAAUAUAUAUAUUUUUAAAUGACUACAAAUCAAAAGAUAGACAACCCAGUAGCAAGUUGGGCAAAAGGAAAAAAAAAGUGGUCUAAACCAAACCAGUUCGUGUUGAGUGGAUUCUGACUCAAGGUGAUCCGUGUGUGUUUGUCAGAGUAGAACUGUGCUCCAUAGGGUUUUCGAUGGCUGAUUUUUCAGAAGUAGAUCUCGGACUCGAACAACCAGGGUGUUGACCGUUUGUACCACCCAGGGACUCCUUAAACCAAAGAGGACUGUUAUCUCACCGAAGAAGAACUCCCCAGGCAGGACAGUUCCAGGUUUCCAUCUCUCUGCUCUGCUACCCUUGAUUUGUUGGAGGUGGCUCUCCUCAUGGUCCGAAUACUGCUGAAGCUGUUCUAGCCAUCACCAGUUCAGCUUCAAAAAAAAACAGGCACUUCCUUCUCUGUGUUUUAUUAGUGGAUUUCACUUCCAAUCCCAUCGUCUAGGUCUGGGUCAGAUCACCAUGCUCAAUCUUUGUAUCUUUGGUAAGGAAUAUGAGGCCACCGUAGUUGGCUUAGGCCAACCAUGAUUCUCUUCUCUAGGACUAGGGAGAGGAUCACCUUCCCUGACCACACUGGAGGGUGAACACCAAACAAAACUUGGACUUGGCAACCGAGGAAAAAGGAGGGGGGUUGCGGGAGUCGAAGGAGAGAAUUGACAGCUGAAUAGGCAACCUGUAGUUUUCCUACCUACAUACCUUUAUAUUUUUCACUGUAUGUCCUAUUUCCAUUCAUAAAGAGUAUGUAAAACCCUUACUGGCAGGAACUCUGUCUUUACUUUUAUAUUCCCUAGCCCCCCAGGUACAUUAAAAAAACCAAACAGUUGUGUCAAGUCAAAUCCAACUCAUGACAACCUCAUGUGUCUCCAAGUAGAACUGUGCUCUGUAGGGUUUUCAAUGGCUGAUUUCUCAGUAGAUCACCAGGCCUUUCUCCUGGUGCACCUCUGGGUGGACUUGAACCACCAACCUUCAAUUAACAGCAAGUGUGAUAAACGUUUGCACC